CAAAGCGGGCGGAUUUUAGUGGUCUCCGCCGGGGCCGGUCCGCCUUUGAUCUGAGCCCGUUAAGGAGAAGGGAGUCUGGGGGGAGUCAGGCCAAGAGGAGGGCUGUGGAGGAAGAUCAUAUUAACCCGCCAGGUAAACGCACCCCGGGGAUGCCUGGACUUUUAAGGGAGACGGAUCUCCGAGAACUAAACUCUGCAAGGAGCAUGAAGGGCCUUCAAAUAUAGAGGCCUGGACCAGUUUGGAUGCCCAGUGCUGCUUCCUCUGCUUAGAGAUCUUCCUUCCUGUCUGCAGGGACACCUGUUGGUGCAGAGCAGCUUGGAAAAGCCAAGUUGUCCCGUCAGACUGGCCUCCUUCACUACUAAAGUCACCUGGUGAGCCUCUGUUUAGCUAUAAGUGCUGGAUAUUCACAGCCAUGUGUCAAAGAAAGACUUAUUAUGUAGUUCUACUGUACUCUGACUCAACAGGGACCGACAAAGCUGCCUUAUUAAGCAUUUGAGAGGACAUUAAAAUGACAUCUUUAGUAUCAAACGUCCUGAAUCACACCUGAUCGCACAAUGCCAACUUUUUUUAAUUUUAACAUUUUGAUGGAGAUAAAACUUAUUACCAAACAUGAAAUUAAACUAAGGUGAAACUGUUGGGAACGGCUCUUUAUUUGUAUUUAAUUGUUAUAACAAUUAAAAGACACAUUUGCCUGUACCUUAACUUAUUCAUACAAGAAUCCGUUUUCA